UACGAAGGGGGCUAGCGUUGUUCGGAAUCACUGGGCGUAAAGGGUGCGUAGGCGGGUUUUUAAGUCAGGGGUGAAAUCCUGGAGCUCAACUCCAGAACUGCCUUUGAUACUGAGAAUCUUGAGUUCGGGAGAGGUGAGUGGAACUGCGAGUGUAGAGGUGAAAUUCGUAGAUAUUCGCAAGAACACCAGUGGCGAAGGCGGCUCACUGGCCCGAUACUGACGCUGAGGCACGAAAGCGUGGGGAGCAAACAGG
rnacentral:rRNA from 1 species